GAGGAAUAUUGCGCAAUGGGGGCAACCCUGACGCAGCGACGCCGCGUGGAUGGUGAAGGCCUUCGGGUCGUAAAAUCCUGUCAAGUGGAAAGAAGUGCAUGGUGGCUAAUUCUCAUCAUGUUUGACGGUACCACUGAAGGAAGCACCGGCUAACUCCGUGCCAGCAGCCGCGGUAAUACGGAGGGUGCAAGCGUGGUUCGGAAUUACUGGGCGUAAAGCGCGCGUAGGCGGUUUUGUAAGUCAGAUGUGAAAGCCCUCGGCUCAACCGGGGACGUGCAUUUGAAACUGCAAGACUUGAGUAUUGGAGGGGGUGGUGGAAUUCCCGGUGUAGAGGUGAAAUUCGUAGAUAUCGGGAGGAAUACCAGUGGCGAAGGCGACCACCUGGCCAAAUACUGACGCUCAUGUGCGAAAGCGUGGGGAGCAAAC
rnacentral:rRNA from 1 species